rnacentral:rRNA from 1 species
UACAUAGGGUGCAAGCGUUAAUCGGAAUUACUGGGCGUAAGGCGCACGCAGGCGGUCUGUUAAGUCAGAUGUGAAACCCCCGGGCUUAACCUGGAACUGCAUUUGAAACUGGCAGGCUUGAGUCUUGUAGAGGGGGGUAGAAUUCCAGGUGUAGCGGUGAAAUGCGUAGAGAUCUGGAGGAAUACCGGUGGCGAAGGCGGCCCCCUGGACAAAGACUGACGCUCAGGUGCGAAAGCGUGGGGAGCAAACAGG